rnacentral:rRNA from 1 species
CCUACGGGAGGCAGCAGUGAGGAAUAUUGGUCAAUGGACGAGAGUCUGAACCAGCAAAGCAGCGUGAAGGAGGACUGCUCUAUGGGUUGUAAACUUCUUUUAUAUGGGAAUAAAAUGUUCCACGUGUGGGAUUUUGUAUGUACCGUACGAAUAAGCAUCGGCUAACUUCGUGCCAGCAGCCGCGGUAAUACGGGGGAUGCAAGCGUUAUCCGGUUUUAUUGGGUUUAAAGGGUGCGUAGGCUGUGAGGUAAGUCAGCGGUGAAAUGCCCCCGCUCAACGGGGUGAAGUGCAAUUGAUACUGGCUUGCUGGAAUGCGGAUGCGGUAGGAGGAAUGUGUGGUGUAGCGGUGAAAUGCAUAGAUAUCACACAGAACACCGAUUGCGAAGGCAUCUCACGAAUCCGCGAUUGACGCUGAUGCACGAAAGCGUGGGUAUCAAACAGGAUUAGAUACCCUUGUAGUC